CCAAACAUUCAGAAAUUUGCCAAAGACCAAGGAUCACAAAGAUGAAUCUUCCCGACUUUAGGCCCAGCAUUCUAUCCACUGUGCCACCUAGCUGCUUUGUUGAAACCAUACUGAGAAGCAAUUGAACUCUGCUGAAUUAUAAUGGUCCUGGAGAAUGGAUGAUGUACUUUCCAUGUCCUGGUAAAGAGUCAUUUCAGGAUAGCAUUCUGACCUGCACCUCUGCCUCCAACAAAGAAAAACAAAAGCAAAACCAAUCACCAUAACAACUACAACUACAGUAUUGGACAAAACAUGCAACAUAUCACAGCUGUAGACAUCAGCAAAGAAAGGGAGAUGAGGAAACUGCAGUCCAGAGAAGAGAAAUGAUUAGCCCACAAUCACCCAAGUAGUGAGCAGAAGAAUCAGGAUUUGAACCUAUGUCUUCCAAGUCUAAAUUCAAGAUUCUAUUGCAUCAUUAAAAAUUCUUAUUUUAUUUUUAAUUUGUGGAA